AACUUUUUUUCAAACUGCAGGUUUGAAAAAGCAAAAAGUCUGGUCUGACACCACACACCCACUCUGACCAUCUCACAGCACAGCUGUGUGAAGUCCCCUCCUGCUUCAAAUGCUCCACCAUCAUACCUGUACCCAAGAAAAAACUAAAAUCACAGGACUUAAUGACUACAGACCUGUUGCUUUAACAUCUGUGGUCAUGAAGUCAUUUGAGAGACUGGUGCUGGGCUACUUAAAGGACAUUACUGGACUCUUGUUGGACCCCCUGCAGUUUGCUUACUGAGCAAACAGGUCUGUGGAUGAUGCAGUCAAUAUGGGAUUGCACUACAUCCUCCAACAUCUGGACAAACCAGGGACUUAUGCAAGGAUCUUGUUUGUGGACUUCAGCUCAGCUUUCAACACCAUCAUCCCGGACACCCUUCAGAAUAAACUCACACAGCUCUCUGUACCCACCUCCAUCUGUCAGUGGAUCACCAGCUUUCUGACAGACAGGCAGCAGCUAGUGAGGCUGGGGAAAAUCACAUCCAACACCCGCACCAUCAGCACUGGAGCUCCUCAGGGCUGUGUUCUCUCCCCACUGCUCUUCUCUCUCUACACAAAUGACUGCACCUCUAAAGACCCCUCUGUCAAGCUCCUGAAGUUUGCAGACGACACUACAGUCAUUGGCCUCAUUCAGGAUGGUGAUGAGAGCUGGCUGUCUGGUGCAGUCACAACAAACUGGAGCUCAACACGCUCAAAACUGUGGAGAUGAUCAUGGACUUCAGGAGAAACCCCCCUGCUCUCCCUCCACUCACCAUCAUGGACAGCACUGUGGCUGCAGUGGAGUCAUUCAGAUUCCUGGGCAUCACCAUCUCUCAGGACCUCAAGUGGGACAUUCACAUUGACUCCAUUGUGAAAAAGACCCAGCAGAGGUUGUACUUUCUUCGUCAGCUGAAAAAGUUCAACCUGCCAAAGGCACAGAUGACACAGUUUUACUCCGCUAUUAUUGAGUCUGUUCUGUGCUCUUCUAUAACUGUCCGGUUUGGGUCAGCCAGCAAAUCAGAUUUAAGAAGACUGCAACGGACUGUAAGAACCGCAGAAGGGAUCAUUGGUGUGCACUUGUCCAGUCUUCAGGAUUUGUACAACUCCAGAGUAAAGACAUGGGCAGCACUGGCUGCGAGUACACGCCCCUUACUGCUGAUUGGCUGCGAGUACACGCCCCUUACUGCUGAUUGGCUGCGAGUACACGCCCCUUACUGCUGAUUGGCUGCGAGUACAUGCCUCUUACUGCUGAAUGGCUGCGAGUGUGUUUUGGGACUCAGUCUAACACUGGUCAAAAGUUUUUUUCAAAUAUUGCUUAGUGCACCUUUAAAGGGUUAGUUCAACCAAAAAUGAAAAAAAAAAUAGCCCAUAAAUUACUCACCCUGAAGUCAUCCUAGGUGUGUAUGAUUUUCUUCUUUCAGACAAGUUGGAGUUAUAUUAAAAAUUGUCUUUGAUCUUUCAAGCUAUUUCAUGGCACUCAGCGGGUGUUACAUUGCUUCAGUCCAAAAGAAGUUAAAUAAAAAGUACCCAUCCAUAAUAAAAAAGCAUCUGUCACUAUCUUGAGUCCCGGGCACAGGGUGUACUCACGUAGGCCAUGUACCGAUUGUCCCUGCUGGUCUGCACUCACAUUGCUGUUAAUGUUCCAGGCCGGAGCACACGUCAUUACCAUGCUACUUUAUGUUUUGAAGAAAUGCUUUCGCUAAUAGACUGUCUGAAAGAUUUAGCACUUAUGCAAUGCAGUGAUUUUCAUUAAAUUGUGCUGGAUAUAUCAGAGGAUUAUUACAGCAUGGUAUGGAGAUAUCGCUCUAGUCAAAUCAGCUAGACUUUCAGAUGUGCUCGGACAUGGUUCAGAUCACCUAGUCUGAGUAUAAAGCUAAUGCUGCUUUGAGCUCAGAGGAACUCCUGCAGUCUAUCUGUUCUCCUCUUAACAGUUUAUUUCAGUGUGGUCUGUCUGCCUCUGUUUAUCUGUCUUUUUUGUGUUUGUCACCUCUAUUUCAAUCUCAAUCAUUUUACUUAGUGGUAUGACAGAUACAUUAUGUGCGGGUCUUUUGAGGACAAAUAAUGAUUUCAGCAUAUUUACACACAAUUCUGACAAUUCAUAGGUCUCUCAACUCGACUUUAUCUCUGUCCUCUCAUCAAAUGUACACACAUUUCAUCUCACAAGCUUUAACUCAUUCAUUUAGAUCAUGUGAAUGUGUGUAUAUUCACAAUUUAGUCUGUCCACAGCAAUAUAUUCUGUCAAACCUCAGCUUUCACAUCUGACUACUUCUCCUCGAGCUUGUUGAUGUGUGUGUGCCUGCUUUUGUGUGUCAGUGUUUGUGUGUGACUCUUGUGUGAGGAAUCACUGACUUAUUAUCAGAUGUGUUUGGGUGAGUUGAUUCUGAGAGUCCUGAUCUGAUCACAGAUUCAUUUAAUAUUCCAAAUAACACUUGAGCAUUUUGGUCCACAUGUUAAGAGUGAAACUAUUUCAGAUCUUUUUUGUUUUGUCCUGCAG
ensembl:lncRNA